UUUUUUUUUCUUCAGGUUACUUAUGAAUUUCAGACAAAUUCUAGGUUAUGAUAAUUGAUGUCCUUCUUUAUUUUCCAGCCUGCUUUAUGCGUAAACAUACCAUGAUUGACUUAUAGCCAUCUGAAAAGAUGGGGAGUGCAUUUUUUAUGGAAAUUUUCAAUCUUUGCAAUUAGAGUGUAGAGAAAAUGGAAGGUUAAUGCAGUUCGUUUAUUUUUUUUAAAGUGUAACUCCUUUUUGAAAAAUACUUUUCUGUAUGUUCAUUAACUGUUUUUAGAUAAACACACACAGACAUAUAUACAACUACAGUCUCUCAGUUGACUGCCAAAGUUUGUGAAGAAAAUAAUAAAUGUUUUAGAAAACGUUUAAAAUAUUUAAGAAAAUAUUUAAAACAUUUAAGCAAAUAUUUAAAUAAAAUUUAAGAAAUGUCCUAAAAUAUGAAUUUGCAAGAGGACUGUAUGUAGACUCCAAUAUUUCCAUUGGAAAUGAAACUUUGCAACUAAAGAGAAAAUUUCAGGAGCGCCUAGGUGGCUCAGUGAUUGAGCUUCUGCCUUUGGCUCAGGUUCUGAUCCCGGGACCCUAGGAUCGAGUCCCACACUGGGCUCCCUGAACGGAGCCUGCUUCUCCCUCUGCCUAGGUCUCUGCCUCUCUCUGUGUGUCUCUCAUGAAUAAACAAAAUCUUAAAAAAAAAAAAAAGAAAAUUUCAAAAUGUGAACUUAAUACACAUGCUAAAAGUGCUAAGUCACACUUUAUAGCAUAAGGAAUUGAGGAACCUUAGUUUCAAGCAAAUAAUUGUGUCUUGUCCCACUAGGAAUUUGCAUAUUUUGCUAAUGCUUAUGGAUUCUGAUCUCAGAAAAUUCCUUUCUAAAGUGUGAGAUUUCUUAUUGGGAAAAAAAUUCAGAUACAAGGGGAUUAGCAUAGAAAAAUUGGUCUUGCUUCUAUUUAAACAUUUUUAAGUCCAAUUCUUUGUCAGUUAACAUUUUAGCCACUGGAAUACAGGUAACACGUCUUGUUCUUUCCCCCAGAAACUGGUGUGUUUACUUUAUGGACUCAGAGGGGCUUUUCAAAUUAACUUCAAAUUUUUACGGCCCUUUUUUUCAUAUCCCAUGUGUGAAUUUGCUGUGGAGACUUAGGAAUGAUGGAACUGCACUCAGCAGCCCACUAGUGAAUUGGUUGGCUUAGGUGAGUGUUGAGGACCUUUGGCAAUGAGGCGCAGGCCUGAGUUUUAGCACUGAAGCAAAAGUUUUUAGAGCAGGCCAGGUUAUGAAUCAAUAUGAAGGAGGCACUUGAACACAAUGUGCACUUUAAAAAAUUCAUUGAAAAUUUGAGAGCAUUUUCAAUGAAAGUCGAUAGGACUGCAAUUUGUCUCCCUUGAACAGAUUUGUUCGCUUUUGUUAAGAGUUUUGUCUUUUAAAGUAUUGAUCAAAUCAAUGCUCAAGGUAGAACUAGGUCCAAUUACAAUCCUAACACCUUUUUGAGCAACUGUUCCAAUAAUAUAAUUAAUAUUUUAGCAAAACAUCAUGGAUCAUACCUGAAAGAAAUCACCUGGGUCUGAAGAAUACCUACUGAGGGCAGCCCUGUUAAGAUUAACUCUGAGGUGUGUAGAUUAAUUUCCUGGACUUGCAAAGCAGGAGAGGGAAGGUUUUCCUUCCUUACAAGCCUGGAGGGUUUGGUGUUUGGCCCUGUUGAGACCCUAAGGGCUAUUUGGGCUGAUUAACAUAUAUGUAAUUAAAGUGCACCAGCUAGAAAGGCAGAACCAGUUUUAUUUGGCUCUGUACUUCUGUGAAUAAUUUCUUUCUCUCUACAUUAUUUACCUUCUGUGUCCGUGUGGGGGAGGGAGAGGAGGGGUCUAAGCUUCCCUGGACAUCCUUCCACUGCCUUGUUUAGGAUUAUUAUUAUUGCUUCCUAUCCUGGCAGACAGAAGGGCAGCCCCAGUGGCCCAGCGGUUUAGCGCCGCCUUCAGCCGGGGGUGUGAUCCUGGAGACCCAGGAUCAAGUCCCACGUCAGGCUCCCUGCAUGGAGCCUGCUUCUCCCUCUGCCUGCGUCUCUGCCUCUGUGUGUGUGUGUGUGUCUGUCAUGAAUAAAUAAAAUCUAAAAAAAAAAAAAAAAGAGUAGACAGGCUUUGCCUAGCAUUCAAACUAGAUUUUCUUUCCAUUCAUAUCACCAUUUUUAAGCCACAUUUUUCAUCACAGGGUAAGAAACACUGUAAAUAAUUGAGGUGAUCCAUCAAGAGACCCAUUCUUGAUAAUGAAAAAUUGCAUAACUCAGUAGAAGUCAAUUAAAAACCACAAACUUCAGACCCCUUUGCUCAGUGAAGAUUUAUUUUUAUAGUAGGCAUUUAAUACGAUAGAUUAUGGAGGUCAAAAUUUUUUAAAUUUCUAAAAAUUCAGUUAGAGCUUGACAAUCAACAGAAGAUUUAUACAGUAUCAAAGUAUAUUAGUUUUUAUUUUUCUCAUUCCUUUGAGAUGUUUGAGGUGUUCAGGAUUUUAUAACCAUAUUAGAAAUGACAUCCCACUGUGGGAUACUUUUUUAUUCCUUUGCAGGUUUUAAAUGCUUCGUACUCUUUGUCCCUAUAAAAUGAAAACUACCUAAACUAAGAAGUUAGGACAUUUUCAUCAGUUAAACCAAGUAUCUGAAUACUUAGGACUAGAUAAACAACUUGAAAUGUUUUUGUUGUCUGGUUGCUUGGUUAGGUCAUAGACCAUACAUAGAAUGUAAUAUCUUAUACAACUCCAGGUAAUUAAAAAAAAAAAAUAAUGCCAGUGUCUUUAGAGAUAUCCAAGCUAUGCAAGUGGCCAAGGGUAAAAUGCCAAGUCUCUGAAAUAUGAUGUCCAUUAUACUUUUCUUCCCUUUCCGUGGUUUUUUCAUGCCCUAAACCUAAAAUGAACUAAGGUGCAACAUCUAUCUUCAAAAACAUAAAUAUUUAACUAUUUGUUUUAAGGUUCAUAAUCUCCCAUUAGAACUUUAAACUGUAUCUAACGGCUUAGGUAGGGUUUGGCAGUCAGGCCUGGCAGAUGCCUAACUCCAAUCAACAGCGCACAUGUGAUCUGCUUCCUCCUGAAAUUAAACUGCCAAGGAAAAAGGAGGAAUCGUGCUCUUUAUUUAAUAACAAAGAAUGCUAUCGUUAGAAUUCUCCAGAUUUGGAAUUCCAGCAGUGUUUCUCUGUUUUCUUCUUGAUGUGUGACAAGAACGAAUACUAUAAAAAAUAAAAAUAAACCUCAUGUAAACAAGCAGUUCUUUGACUUUAUAAGGCUCAACAUCAAAUAUAUCAAAUUCUAAAAAUACCAAAGACCAGUGAAAUGUCAAAGCUGAGGGGAUAACAUGCUGGGGAUAGAACAGGUUUUUAAGUCUUUCGAUUUAUUUGAACCUACUAGCAUUAACUUUAUGUUCAUAGUUGCCACUUCAACAGACUACUGGAGUCCAUGAGAUUUCAUAUUCAUAUAAAUAUUUGACUUUGACCUCAUAAAAAGUCCCUUGGGUCUAUAAUACUUUUAUUCUUGUAUAAUCUGAAACAAAUCCUUUCCUUUUAAAAAUCAAACAGACCACGUUACACACACAGUUGACUAACUAUUUACAAAGCACCCAAUUAAAUCCUACUUAAUUCUCUCUCACUCUAAAAAUUCCAUCUAACUGGUGUGCAAAGUACUGACCACAUUAAAUGCAUCAUGUUCACAGGCCCUGAUGGUCCCUAUCCAACCUGGAAAAUACUGACUUCAUUAAAGAGAAAAGAAAAUCUUAAAAAAUAAGUAAAGCGUUUUGAAGAAACGAGACCAGAAAUCACAGUACAAGACAGAUAAAUCUACUUUAAUAUGCACAUGUAAAAGUUACACAUCACAAGAGAUUGGACAGUAGUUUAGCCAUAACUAACAUAGCUAUAGUGAA
rnacentral:lncRNA from 1 species